rnacentral:piRNA from 1 species
UUGUAACUAGCGUCUGACGUGAGGGCAGC